CCCGUCCGUGGUCGGCACAGACGGCUGGCACGAGGCGCUCCUCCCUAAGCCGGCCAGCCGCGUCUGUCUGGGAGGGUAGGACUUAAGAUGCCUUUAGUCUGCCCCUCUCGCAGACGCAGGCGGGCUCACGUGGAAGGCCCGUGCCCGCAGGUCCCUGAGACAGCGGCGCGGGGUUGGCGUGGUUCUACCCGUGUGCCGGCGUCGAGACUUUGCCGAGUGUCUCUUUCUGGGCAGACCCACAGACUCAGGCAGCUCCAUCUGCCCUAACCCACGCCUCCACCCGAGCUCCAGCUGCUUGCAGUUAAGAUGCUGCCCUGGGCCACCGGGCCGGGGUUAAGGUCUGAAAUUGGAAACACGGCUCAGAAUUACGUUCCAGGUGAGAAGGCCGAGUUGUAAUUUGAGGACUGUGGUCUGCUGCACACGGCCAGGCGUAGAAUUCCAGUUCCCACGCCUGGAGACGCCACACUUCGUCCUUUAAAAGUAUGCAAAACGAGGGCCGCCCGCUGGCGCAACAGUGAAGUGCACGUUCUGCUUCAGCGGCCCCAGGGUUCGCCAGUUCAGAUCCUGGGUGCGGACCUGGCACCACUUGGCGAGCCAUGCUGUGGUAGGCGUCCCACAUAUAAAGUAAAGGAAGGCGGGCGUGGAUGUGAGCUCAGGGCCUGCCUUCCUCAGUGAAAAGAGGGGGAUUGGCAGCAAUUAGCCCUGAACUAACAUCUGUGCCCAUCUUCCUCCAUCUUAUAUGUGGGGCACCAGCCACAGUGUGGCUUGAUAAGCAGUGUGUAGGGCCACACCAGGAUCUGAACCCAUGAACCCUGGGCCACUGAAGCUGAGAGCACGAACUUAACUGCUGCACCACUAGGCUGGCCCCACAAAAAUCCUGAUUUUUAAUAUGGCAGCAAAGUGAUUUUAUAAUGCGUUGAGGAAAAACAUGUCAUGUCUCUAAUACCACUUUGCAAAAAUUAGCAUGCUAACAACAUCCUAUACAUUGAACUAGGAAAGCCUCCAACUCAGUAGUUUUACACUGCCUGGUCACAGAAGGCGACAACUCCGCCUCUCAACUUCCCCAAAUCAGCCUACACAUAAAUCAGAUAUGGGCGAACUCGGAGUCCUGUAAUAUGAGAAACACCCAAUGUCAUGGAAAGAAAACUGCAAGUACGUUAUCAUAAUCAUAAAUGUUCCAUUUGAAAGUUCUUGAGAGUAGAUCUUAAAAGUUAUCACAGAAAAGAAAAUUCUGUAACUAUGGUGAUGAAUGUUAACUAGACAUUGUGAUCAUUUCACAAUAUAUAUAUCAAAUCAUGUUGUAAACCUGAAACUAAUAAAAUGUAUGUCAAUUAUAUCUCAAAAAAUAAAUUUUGAAAAAGCAAAACAUCAUUUCAUUCUUGAGUAUAGAUCAAAAUGGAGAGGGGCUGGCUCGGUGGCACAGCAGUUAAGUGCACACGUUCUGCUUUAGUGGCCCAGGGUUCACCAGUUUGGAUCCCGGGUGCAGAUGUGGCACCGCGUGGCAAGCCAUGCUGUGGUAGGCAUCCCACAUAUAAAGCAGAGGAAGAUGGGCAUGGAUGUU
ensembl:lncRNA